AACAAUUCAAACGAAAAAACUAACGACCUAAUUGAUGUACAAAAUAAUAAACGAAAAACAAAACUGUAACACAGCAACAAAAAGUAAAUAAAAAAACAUUGGAUGACAAUAAAGUAGAAUGUGCCAUGGGAGUUUACAAAACAUUUAAUGGCACAAGUAACACGAUACCAAAUUGCAUAUCCCGAUUUUUAAAAUAUUUUGCACACUUUUUGACUGUAAUGACGUCGCGUAC
rnacentral:lncRNA from 1 species